GUACUCCCAUGGGUUUUGGAAGGAGGUCUAACUCCAUGCACCCUCCCAGCCCCGUGGGUUCAUGUGAUUCCCACCUCACAGCUGGUGAGAUCUGUAGUGAGCAGGUCAACUGAAUUUCUCCAUUAGUGAACAGGAAUGGACAGACAGGAGCAGCCAAACACAAGAGUGAACACAG
rnacentral:lncRNA from 1 species